rnacentral:rRNA from 1 species
CGUUACUUAUCACGCGGUAUCGCUCGCUCGCUUCACUUUGUUGCUCGCUCGCUCGUUUCCCUUUCCCUUUGCUCAGGCGCAGGUGGAUCUCGCAGGGUGGAGUGAGCAGAGAAGGAGGAGGGUGGAAUCUUGGGAUCGGUGGCCGAGGAGGAGGAGUGUGGAGUCGGCGGAGGGGGACAGGGGAGGGAAAGGGGGGUUAGAGUAGGUGGGGCCCACGCCUCCGCUCGAAGGGCCGCUGCCACCGCGACCGAGCUCCGCCGGUGCGUAGGUGAGGAGGUAGAGGAAGAGAGGGAAGGCGGAGGAGAACAGCGUCGAGAUGGAGGGGCGGACCGUCGCCGGUUUCUUCCCGACGAGGCGGGGGAGGAGACGGAGAGAAGGACUCGUACCGGAGCUAGAUCUCGUCCUCUCCGGUCCUCACGUUGGAGUUAGACCUCUUCCCGUCGUCGGCGGUCGGCUAAGGCCGGGUGAGGUCGUUGGGCUCGCCCGGUCGUGGAAGGGCACGAGAGGAUAGCAAGGAGAUGGUACAGGUAACUAGGAGGUUGUAGUAGGGGCUGAUAGGGGCCGGCAAGCCUGAUGACCACACCCCACAACGGUACCUACGGCCGCCCCACGGGUGUAGAGACUGCGGAAGGCGCAACGGAUGCCCCGUAGGUGGAGUACCCACCCCCUUUUUCUCCCUGAGAAACCGCUACCUCUCGAACCCUAAGUAGUGGGGGUUGACUUAGAUGGGACGAUAGUGUACAAGGGAGGAGGACCAGAAUAUAACGGUGCUUUAAAGGGUAACGGAACGUCAAACAAACUAAGUAACUAAAACGAUAGGAUAUCAGGACGUACCCAGGGGCAGGGGUCCGUUUGGUUAGAGUCACCUCAGUACCUCUAGUUUUCUAAAAAGGUACAACUAUAUUAAGAUAUUUAAUAUAUAAAAAAAGGACCUCUCAUUGAACACAUUAGAAACUUUCGUCGGAAACGUACAAAUACCGAAAAGUCGGAGUACGAAUACCACGCCGAUGCACCUACGGCCACUGUUCAUGCUGGCGAGAGAUGAGCGGAGAUUAUAUAACCGAAUUGAGGGAGCUCUUUUCCUCAGAAACGUUCUACACUUUAUCGGCGAACCACCUGCACGGGCCUAAAUACUUAAUUCGAUAGACUACGACUGCCACCAAAGUGCAGUAACCUACAAGCACCUGGAGCACCUCAGUCGGCAUCAUCAUGGACCAGACCAUGUAAAAUAUACUACACACGCAGCUGGGUUCAACCAAGUAGCGUUCCUUUGGCCGCCCUUCGUGCGGUGGUAUCCCCUUCCCGCCCCCUCUGUACCACCGCCGAUCGACCCCGUUCGACGCUUACGGGUAGCCGCUGAAAGCAACCCCAGGUAGGGUAAGAAGGAGGAGUGAGGCUACGGUUUUGGUCAUCCACGUUGUUCUUCCAGUUCGUGGUUGCUCCACGUGUAGGUGUGUACCCACCGCACUUGUCUACCGAUGGGGUUCUAUUAGACUUGAUCGAAGAUCGUAGGCUACUCUUUGGUUCGGUCAAAGAGUCGUACCGUCUAUUGAGAGAUCUGUACUAGUACAGAGAUCGUCAAUUCAAAACUUGAUCUUGACAACUAGUGUAACAUUAACAAGGACGAUGAGGUCCAAGCUGGACUUAAAACAUAAUACAUGUCUACCACAACCACACGGAGAGGUAUCCAAAGGUGGAGGGUCUUAAGUAGAAGGAUAACGGUGUAUUAAUGUAGAAAACAAAAACGCUGUAGUUACAUAUCUAGGUGACAAAGCGUGUAUAUAGGUACAGUUUUUGGGAAACCUUCCAAAGCAACAGAACUAGGGACUCCCAAUGCCGGCUGGACUCUUAUACUACAUGAAAAAGAGAUUUCAUCAUUACUCCUAACUAUGUUACUGUACGUGUUCAUAAACUCAUCGUACACUGAUUAGAAUAUCGGGGGAGGGGACUACAUACCCCACUUACAACAUUUUACAAAAUGUUUAUCUACUACCUAAUAACGUUACAGAAUGGGUUAUGUUUUCUUUUAGUGGGACUAUAAGACUAACAACUCCUAAAAUACAAACACAAAUACAAAUGUCUAACACCCUUCCCCCGUACCGCGUGACAAAGUGGAAGUCCUCUCUUAACGUCACAGAAUAAAACAGGUAAAAAGGACGUACUCAACACUACAGUUCUCUAAAUCUUAUCCGAGAAACGAGAUAUAAGACUUUAUUAUCAGUACACAGUACAUAGUAGGAAGCCACUACAAAUCCAGAUCUACACCCAGAAAAGCAGGUAUUUUUUGGCACUUCAACAUACACGUAAAGGAAGAUACGUAGAGACGUCUAUAAACUAACUACGUUUAUACAUGAAACUUAAGAAUGACCUACAGAGAGUUAUAACGAUUCUCAUAGGUUAUGGGAUACUUGGUUGGAAGUUGUAUUGUAUAUUGUGAUACAUCCUUGUAGUAUGGACAUAGAUAAAUGGAUACGAUGUUCCUCAAUAAACUAGUCAGAGAUUUAUAAGAAUGAGAGUACCAAACUUUCAAACCAAACAAGAGCGGGAAACGCGAUAGUACCCACAACUGUUUUCCCGGCGGUAGUGAUUCCGACCUCGCUGAAGAAGGCAGUCCGCGUGUACCUCUUUACAAUUCGUGUACGAAAGCGGAAGUUUACGUGAAGGUUCCCUGACGCGGACUAGCAGAUGAGUUAUAUUAGUUCAACGUUCUCGGUAAAUAAUAUAUUGAAUCGUAAACAUAUG